rnacentral:rRNA from 1 species
AAUACGGUCUCAGUGGCGAACGGGUGAGUAACGCGUUGGUGACCUGCCCCGAAGUGUGGAAUAACAGAUCGAAAGAGCUGCUAAUACCGCAUAAUAUCCAGAAGAUUAGACGCUUUUGGAUUAAAGGAUUUAUUCGCUUCGGGAGGGGCCUGCGUCCCAUCAGCUAGUUGGUAAGGUAAUGGCUUACCAAGGCUAUGACGGGUAGGGGACCUGAGAGGGUGGCCCCCCACAAUGGAACUGAAACACGGUCCAUACACCUACGGGUGGCAGCAGUAGGGAAUAUUAGUAAUGGGCGAAAGCCUGAACUAGCAACGCCGCGUGUGCGAAGAAGGCCUUCGGGUUGUAAAGCACUUUUAGAGAGGAUGAGAAAGGACGGUACUCUCAGAAUAAGUCUCGGCUAACUACGUGCCAGCAGCCGCGGUAACACGUAGGAGGCGAACGUUAUCCGGAUUUACUGGGCGUAAAGCGCGUGUAGGUGGUUUGGUAAGUAGGGCGUGAAAGCUCCCGGCUCAACUGGGAGAGGCCGUUCUAAACUGCCAAGCUAGAGGAUGGUAGAGGGAGGUGGAAUUCCGGGUGUAGCGGUGGAAUGCGCAGAUAUCCGGAGGAACACCAGUGGCGAAAGCGGCCUCCUGGGCCACUCCUGACACUCAGACGCGAAAGCUAGGGUAGCAAACGGGAUUAGAGACCCCGGUAGUCCUAGCCCUAAACGAUGUAGACUUGGCGUCGUGGUUUAAACGCCAUCGUGUCGCAGCUAACGCGAUAAGUCUACCGCCUGGG